rnacentral:rRNA from 1 species
GAUGAACGCUGGCGGCGUGCCUAAUACAUGCAAGUCGAGCGAACAGACGAGGAGCUUGCUCCUCUGACGUUAGCGGCGGACGGGUGAGUAACACGUGGAUAACCUACCUAUAAGACUGGGAUAACUUCGGGAAACCGGAGCUAAUACCGGAUAAUAUAUUGAACCGCAUGGUUCAAUAGUGAAAGACGGUUUUGCUGUCACUUAUAGAUGGAUCCGCGCCGCAUUAGCUAGUUGGUAAGGUAACGGCUUACCAAGGCAACGAUGCGUAGCCGACCUGAGAGGGUGAUCGGCCACACUGGAACUGCGACACGGUCCAGACUCCUACGGGAGGCAGCAGUAGGGAAGCUUCCGCAAUGGGCGAAAGCCUGACGGAGCGACGCCGCGUGAGUGAUGAAGGUCUUCGGAUCGUAAAACUCUGUUAUUAGGGAAGAACAAAUGUGUAAGUAACUAUGCACGUCUUGACGGUACCUAAUCAGAAAGCCACGGCUAACUACGUGCCAGCAGCCGCCGUAA